rnacentral:lncRNA from 1 species
GCAGUUCGGAAGGACCCGAGUCCCUUAACUAACCGAGAGCUAACAGGUCGGGGACUGCGGGACGGAAGAGGGAGGGGAAGAUGAAGAAAAUCGGUGAUGAAUGGCUGGCGGAAAUGAUUGGCGGAAAGAAAGAGCCAGUUCACAGUGCGCCUUUGUAUUCGGCGGGAAACCCGGCCGAAGAGGGAGCUGGAAAGGACUCCGGAAUCCGGCCGUAAUUCCAGCCAAUCAGGGAGUAGAGUUGCGGGGCGGGGUUGGGGCGGGGCAGUCUCGCGGGAGAUAGUUUCGCGGGUUCGGGAGGCGAGUCUCCGGUUUCCGCCCAGUCUCUGGGGACGCGGUGGCGGGGUCUGAAUCGCCUGGCUUCCAGGGAGUUUUGGGCGGGUCCCCGCACGGGAGCGUGGCAGGCGCUGGACUCGACAGCAGAUGUGGAACUGGAGAGCUUGGCGCGCCCUCAUACUUUGUCACACACCUACGCCACCAGACUGGGGUCGGGCCCCUCCGCGUUCUGCUCUGGAGGGCCUGGGUCUGGGCCCAGCAUAGCGCUUUUAGAAUCUCCUCAGCUGAAUCUGACGCUCAGCCGUAGGUGAAGCUUAGCCCGCUGUUUCAGGCCCCGCCGAUCUGGAAGGAGUGUCAGAGCUGGAGCGCGCGUGGCCUCAUCGGUGUUGGGGUCACCCCGGGGUUGCCAGGGCUCAUGGAGGGUCGUAGUCUGGAUUUUGUCACCCCCACGUCCCCGCCCCGCAGCAAGUCUGGGGUUGGAGAACUCACGCGGUCUUCGUAAGCUACAUGCCAGUUGACCCUCGAGGAGGGAUGCUCCCUCCCCUUAAGCGUCCACGCUGGAGAAGGAGUAAGAUGGACAAUUGCCUGGGGAGCCUGACAGGGCGGUGGCAGCUGGGAUGCUGGAGAGGACUGGCCCCUUGUGUUACUGAGUCCAAGGAAUAUGCUUGCUCUGCUCUAGGAACCGCGUUCAGGUUACAGUCAUCCCAGUAGAGUCCUGAAGAUGCGUGGUUCAGGUCACUUAGGACUUGACCAGAUACCGGGUUUCUUUUACAAGCCGUUUACUACUGGCAGAGCUCAUCUAAAACUUUUUUUGUUUGUUUGUUUGAGACGGAGUCUCAUUCUGUCGCCCAGGCUGGAGUGCAGUGGCACGAUUUUGGCUCACUGCAACCUCCGCUUCCCGGGUUCAAGCAGUUCUCUGCCUCAGCCUCCCGAGUAGCUGGGAUUACAGGCACCACCUAAUUAGCCCGCCACCACGCCCGGCUAAUUUUUGUAUUUUUAGUAGAGACGGGGUUUCACCAUCUUGGCUAGGCUGGUCUUGAACUCCUGACCUCGUGAUCCACCCGCCUCGGCCUCCCAGAGUGCUGGGAUUACAGGCGUGAGCCACCGCACCUGGCCUAAAACUGAUUUUUUAUUAAUUUUGGGGCUUUUAAUAUUUUUUUCUUAUUUCUAAAUUCUGAGGUUAUUUAUAGUAGCCCCAUAUACGGGAUUAGAUAAUCUCUUGUGAUUUUCUAUUUCUGGUAAUUAUUUCUAAUAUAUGUUUUUUUGUUUUUGAGACGGAGUCUCGCUAUGUCGCUCAGGGUGGAGUGCAGUGGCAUGAUCUCCGCUCUUUGUAGCCUCUGCCUCCCGGGUUCAAAUGAUCCUCCCACCUCAGCCCCCCGAGUAGCUUGGACCACAGGUGCAUGCCACCACGCCGGCUAAUUUUUCUAUUUUUGGUAGAGUUGGGGUUUCACUAUGUUGACCAGACUGGUCUAGAUCUCAAGGGAUUAGUCUCCCUUGGCCUCCCAAAAUGCUGGGAUAAUGGGCAUGAGCCACCGUGCGUGGCCUUAAAGUUACUAUUCUUAAAGUUUGCACAAGUGAUAUGUUAAAGGCACAGACUUAGUAAUAUAAUGUCAUUAUAAUAAUAACCCUAAAACACAUUGUCUCAUAUUGUGUUGUACCUAAACAAGUGAAAUUAAGAAGAAAAUUGAAGGAAAUGUUUCUGGUAAAUUGCAGAUAGUGAAUCUUUUGUCUUAUACUAUCAAAUAGGUAUUGACUAUUCCAGCUUUCUUAUUUGUUGAGGAAGAUGGCAGAAAUCCCGUUUUACAGAGGGAUAGACUUUGAAGGAUAAUACCCAAAGCUGCAUAGCUGUGGCUGGUAUAGGCCCCAAACCUGAUGUUUCUUCUCUAAAUCUACUGCCUUUGCCAUCUCAACAGCCUGGUUUUUGACAGUUAUCUAUGUAUGAGUUGCAUAAAUCGUUCAUUCAUGGAGCAAAUAAUUAUUGAGUGGCCACUAUGCCAACAGCACUGCUAUAGAUGCUAGAGAUACCCUAGUGAACCAGCAAAGUUUCUGCUCUCAGCUCAUAUUCUGGUGGAGGAGACAACGAUCAAGUUAAAGAAAUACAUAGGCUAAUUUUAGAGAUUAUGACAUGCUAUAUUUUAAAAAUAGGCAAGCUAAGAGGAUAGGCAGUGAUGCUGGGAGGUGGGAAAGUUUUGUCUCAGAAAUGUGGUAAGAGAUUUCUUUGGGCAUCUGACUUCAGCAGAAACCUUAAUGAAGAGAGGAACUUGGAAUGUAAAAGAAAGAAAGCAGGGAUUUGCUCUGAGCAACUGGAAAGAUGGAAUUGCCAUUCGCUGAGUUGAAAUAAAGUAAAAUGUAGGACUAGGUUUUGGGGUUAAGAUUAUGAAUUCGGCUUUAGACAUUUUUAGAUUUCUCUUAGACAUCCAAAUGGAGAGAAGAUAUUUAAAUCCAUGGGAUUGAAUGAGAUCCAACCAAGGGUAUUGUAGGUAGAGAGAGGACCAAAGACUGACACCUAGAACCUUUCAGUGUUCAGAAUGCAAGGAGACAGGAGGAACCAAGAGGGAAGAUUGAAAAGGAGAGUCCAGCUGGGAGCUGUGGCUACACCUUUACUAAUCCCAGCACUUUGGGAGACCAAAUACAGGAAGAUCACUUGAAUCCAGGAGUUUGUAGAACAGCCUUAGCAACAUAGCAAGACCCUGUCUCUACAAAAAUAAAAAUUAAAAAAUUUGCCUGUAAUCCGAGCAUUUUGGAGGCCGAGGUGGGUGGAUCAGCUGAGGUCAGGAGUUUGAGACCAACUUGGCCAACACAGUGAAACCCCGUCUCUACUAAAAAUACAAAAAUUAGCUGGGCGUGAUGGCUGGCACCUGUAAUCCCAGCUACUCGGGAGGCCGAGGCAGGAGAAUCCCUUGAACCUAGGAGGCAGAGGUUGCAGUGAGCCGAGAUCACGCCACUGCACUCCAGCCUGGGAGACAGAGCGAGACUCCAUCUCAAAAUAAAUAAAUAAAUAAAAAUUUAAAAAGUUAGCUGGGCGUGGUGGCAUGUACCUGUAGUCCCAGUUACUCAGAAGGCUGAGGUGGGAGGAUCCUGUGAGCCUAGGAGUUGGAAACUUCAGUAAGCUAUAAUCAUCACACUGCACUCCAACCUAGGCAACAGAGCAAGACCCUGUCUCUUAAAAGGAAAGGAGAGUCCAGUGUGUUCUAAGGAAAACCCCAAGAGCAUCCCACCUUAGAAUACAAGUGAGGAGGCCUGGCAUGGUGUCUCAUGCCUGUAAUCCCAGCACUUUGGGAGGCCAAGGCUGGUGGAUCAACUGAGGUCAGGAGUUCAAGACCAACCUGGCUAACAUGGCGAAACCCCAUCUCUACUAAAAAUACAAAAAUUAGCUGGGCGUGGUGGCCAGCCCCUGUAAUCCCAGCUACUCGGGAGGCUGAGGCAGGAGGAUAGCUUAAACCCAGGAGACGAAGGUUGCAGUGAGCCAAGAUUACACCAUUGCACUCCAGCCUGAGCAACAAAAGCGAAACUCCAUCUCAAAAAAACAAAAACUAAAACUAAACAAAACAAAAAAACCAUGUGUAAAACUGUUAAUCACAACACUGAUUUCAAUAGCAAAAAACAAAAUUUCUGUCAGGAUGGAUGCAGUUGUUAAAGGAACAGCAGAUACAUAUGUAUAGACAUGUAAGAUAGCUUUCAUACUUUUUUUUUUGAGAUGGAAUUUCGUUCUUGUCACCCAGGCUGGAAUGCAAUGGUGAGAUCUAGGCUCCGCUUCUCAGGUUCAAGUGAUUCUCCUGCCUCAGCCUCCUGAGUAAGCUGGGAAUACAGGCGCCCGCCACCACGCCCAGGUAAUUUUUGUAUGUUUAGUAGAGACAGGGUUUCGCCAUAUUGGCGAGGCUUGUCUCAAACUCCUGACCUCAGGUGAUCCACCCACCUCCAAAAGUGUUGGGAUUACAGGCAUCACCCACCACGCGUGACCAGCUUUUAUACAUUUUUAAAUGAUAAAGACAGGUUAAUAAAAUGUAUAAUAUUAUGUUGCUAUAUCCAAAAAAAGGCCUUCUUUGAUUACACUAUCAAAAGUUACCUCUCCAUCUACAUCCCCAUUACUAUCUCAUUAACCUGUUUUAUUCAUAGCACUUACUACCAUCUAAAAUGACUUUAUUUCUUUAUAUUUUUGUUUGCUACCUGUCUUUUACACCAGAAUUUAAUUUUUAAGCUUUUUUUGUUUGUUUGUUUGUUUGUUUUGAGAUGGAGUCUUGCUCUGUUGCCCAGACUGGAGUGCAGUGGUGCGAUCUCAGCUCACUGCAACCUCUGCCUCCUGGGUUCAAUCAAUCCUCCUGCCUCAGCCUCCCAAGUAGCUGGGAUUACAGGCAUGUGCCACCAUGCCCAGCUAAUUUUUGCAUUUUUAGUACAGCAGGGUUUCACCAUGUUGGUCAAGCUGGUCUCAAACUCCUGACCUCAGGAGAUCCGUCAGCCUUGGCCUCCCAAAGUGUUGGGAUUACAGGCGUGAGCCACAGCACCCAGCCAGAAUUUAAACUUUAUAAGAGAUUUCCUGUCUUGUUCAUACUUAUAUACCUGCAGCUUCGAAACAUAUAUAUAUGUUUAAUAUAUAUAAUAGAUAUAUUUUAAAUUAUAUAUAGAGAGAUGGAGUUUCACUCUUGUUGCCCAGACUGGAGUGCAAUGGCGUGAUCUCGGCUCACCACAACCUCUGCCCCCCGGGUUCAAGCAAUUCUCCUGCCUCAGCCUCCAGAGUAGUUGGAAUUACAGGCACGUGCCACCAUGCCUGGCUAAUUUUGUAUUUUUAGUAGAGACAGAGUUUCUCCAUGUUGGUCAGGCUGGUCUCGAGCUCUUGACCUCAGGUAGUCUGCCUGCCUCGGCCUCACAAAGUGCUGGGAUUACAAGCAUGAGUCACUGUGCCCUGCCAGAAUUUAAGCUUUAUAAGAGAUUUCCUGUCUGUUUAUACUUAAAUACCUGCAGCUUGGAAACAUAUAUAUGUUUAUAUGUAUAUAUUACAUACAUUAUAUAUAUAUUUUUAUAUAUUAUAAUUAUAAACUCCUGACCUCAGGUGAUCCACCUGCCUCAGUCUCUCAAAUGCUGGGAUUACAGGCGUGAGCCACCACGCCAGGCCAGAAACAUAUUUUUAAAAAUCUUGUUUUAGAGGAAAAACAGAGUAUUUCUUUUUUUUUUUUUAUUAGAUGGAUUCUCACUCUAUUGCCCAGGCUGGAGUACAGUGGCACAAUCUUGGCUCACCGCAACCUCAGCCUCCCGGGUUCAAGCAAUUCUCCUGCCUCAGCCUCCCGAGUAGUUGGAACUAUAGGCGUGAGCCACCAUGCCCUGCUAAUUUUUGUAUUUUUAGUGCAGAUGGGGUUUCACUAUGUUGGCCAGGCUGGUCUCGAACUCCUGACCUUGUGAUCUGCCCACCUCGGCCUCCCAAAGUGCUGGGAUUACAGGUGUGAGCCACUGCGCCCGGCCUAUUUCUUCUUCUCUUUGUUUAGUUAUUAUCUAUUACUCUCAUUCCUAUGAACAUAACUUGUUUCUCCCCACUUAAUUUUUAUCAUACAUAAUUGUAGACAGUGGGCACUGUCUUCAAUUAUAGUGAAUUUAGCAGUAAAUUCACAUUAGACCAACUUGUAUAGCUUUAAAAAAUAUAUUUAUGUCUAGGUUCCACCCUUGACCAACUAAGUCAGAACUUGGGUGGGUUCAAGGUUCAUUAUUCUUUGAAGAUAAGAUGAUGUUUGAAUAAAAUUCCUGGUGAUUCUGGUAUCAAAAAUACAAAUUUGGGACAUACUUUUUCUGCUGUAAAAAUAUUUUCCUAAGGCCAGGCGCAGUGGCUCACGCCUGUAAUCCUAGCACUUUGGGAGACGGAGGCGGCGGAUCACUUGAGGCCAGGAGUUCAAGACCAGUCUGGCCAACAUGGUGAAACCCAGUCUCUACUAAAAAUAGAAAAAAUUAGCCAGGCAUGGUGGCACGUGCCUGUAGUCCCAGCUACUCAAGAGGCUGAGGCAGGAGAAUCCUUUGAACCCGGGAGGCAGAGGUUGCAGUGAGCCGAUAUUGCAGCACUGCACUCCAGCCUGGGUGACAGAUCAAAACUCUGUCUCAGAAAAAAAAAAAAAAAAAAAAAGAAUUUCCUAGAAUUAGAAUCGCAGGGGUUUUUUUUGUUUUGUUUGUUUGUUUGUUUGUUUGUUUUUGAGACAGAGUUUCACUCCUGUCGCCCAGGCUGGAGUGCAAUGCCAUGAUCUCGGCUCAUUGCAACCUCUGCCUCCUGAGUUCAAGCAAUCCUCCUGCCUCAGCCUCCCGAAUAGCUGGGAUUACAGGCACCUGCCACCAUGCCCAGCUAAUUUUUGUAUUUUUAGUAGAGACUGGGUUUUACCAUGUUGGCCAAGCUGGUCUCGAACUCCUGACGUCAGGUGAUCCACCCAGCUCAUUCUCCCAAAGUGCUGGAAUUACAAGCAUGAGCCACUGCACUCGGCCUUUAUUUAUUUAUUUAUUUUUGAGAUGAAGUCUUGCUCUGUUGCCCAAGCUGGAGUGCAAUGGCAUGAUCUCGGCUCACUGCAACCUCCACCUCCCAGGUUCAAGCAAUUCUCCUGCCUCAGCCCCCUGAGUAGCUGGGAUUACAGGCGUGCACCACCACGCCUGGCUAAUUUUUGUAUUUUUAGUAGAGACAGGGUUUCACUAUGUUGGUCAGGUUAGUCUCGAGCUCCUGACUUCGUGAUCCGCCCGCCUCAGCCUUCCAAAGUGUUGGGAUUACAGGCGUGAGCCACCGCGCCUGGCCAGAAUCCCAGUUUUUUAACACAUCUAAUGCUUUAGGAAUAGUAAAUGGAAACAUCAUUUCCCCUUCUUUCGAAGUACUUCUACCUUGAUGAGAUGUAUGUAUUGGAGUACAAUAUUUGACCUAGCCAAGAAUUUCACAAAAGAAGCCCAAAAUAUGAUUUUCACGUUUACUGGACUGUUCACUUUUGGUGGGAUCACUUUCUUAAGAUUACUUAAAGUACUAAUGCUUGAUGAAAAUCAUUUGUGUUUUCACUUCAUUAAUUGGAGAAAGAGCUACAUGUUUUUGUUGUUGUUGUUGUUGUUUUGAGAUGGUGUCUUGCUCUGUCUCCCAGGCUGGAGUGCAAUGGCGUGAUCUCAGCUCACUGCAACCUCCGCCUCCCGGGUUCAAGCGAUUCUCCUGCCUCAGCCUCCUGAGUAGCUGGGACUACAGGCGCCUGCCACCACGCCCAGCUAAUUUUUAUACUUUUAAUAGAGACAGGGUUUCACCAUAUUGGCCAGGAUGGUCUCAAUCUCUUGACCUUGUGAUCCACCCGCCUUGGCCUCCCAAAGUGCUGGGAUUACAGGCGUGAGCCACUGCGCCCAGCCAGAGCUACAGGUUUUACUGUAACACUUUAGAAGGUCCUUUUUCUUUGUACCUCUGUGAUGUGUUCACCUAGCAACAGCUUCUUUGAUAUGCAAACAUUCUACAGGCAAAUUGCUCAGAGCAGCUACUCAUGUUGGACAAUUCAGGUCUCUUCUGGAAACUGGCCUUGUAUUUGGAAUUUUCUCCAGAGUCUGAUGUGGUAAAAAUUUAUACUUUUCACUUCUUACUAAAUGCAGCAUAGCAUACUACAUCUUUUGAGUGUGUAAAAAAUAAAGUAGUCAUGUACAAACCUAAAAUCACAGAAUAAUCAUGUAACGGUGCUAUAUUUUAUUUUUACUUUAGAUUCCUAAUACAUUUUUAUUGUAUCUUUAUAAGGUUAGUUUGGGAGAAUAGCACUAUCAUCAUCUAUAUUAGUUAACUUUGCAUUAAGGUUUUUCAUUAAGGUUUUUCCCCUGUUUGGUUCUUUCAUUUUACGAUCCAUAUUUUUUGUGCCUGGUAUGGGAUGAUAAAGAUAACAGAAAUAGCUCCUGUUUUUAGGUACCUUUAUUUGUUUGUUUGUUUGGAGACAGGGUCUUACUCUGUCACCCAGGCUGGUGGCACAAUCAUAGCUUACUACAGACUAACUCCUGGCUCAAGCCAUCCUCCACCUCAGCCUCCCAAGUAACUGAGAUUACAGGUGCACACCACCACCUCUGGCUAAUUAUUAAAAUUUUCAUAGAGACAGGAUCUCACUUGGUUGGCCAGACUGAUCUCAAACUCCUGGUCUCAAGUGAUCCUCCCACCCCAGCCUCCUGAAGUACUAGGAUUGCAGGCAUGAACCACUGCCCUGGCCUAGAUACAUUUAAUGUAGUAGAGGAGAUGAGAUUUUUACAUAGUAUAAUAUUGAAUGAGACAACAGUCAAAAGAAAAUCACAUACUAUAAGAGAAGAGAUUACCCUUACCUUUUAGGAAUCAAGAAAACUCCCUGGAGGAGAUGGUACUUGAACUUAUACUGGAGGAUUUAUAUGUUCAUCCUUCUUGGUUUAUAUUUUGUCCCACACGGUAGCUUGUUUCUUUUUUCUUUUUUUUCUUUUUCUUUUUUUUUUUUUGAGGCAGAGUUUUGCUCUGUUGCCCAGGCUAGAGUGCAGUGGCGCGAUCUCGGCUCACUGCAACCUCCACCUCCUGGGUUCAAGCGAUUCUCCUGCCUCAGCCUCCCUAGUAGCUUGUUUCUUAGAGACAGUGUGAGUGAAACUCAUUAAGUAAAGUCAAUACAGCACAAGUUUCAUAAAAUGGUAAAGAAAUAGAAAUAAAAGUAAAGGAUGAAAUUCUUAAGAACUUUGUCAGGCCAGGCGUGGUGGCUCAUGCCUGUAAUCCCAGCACUUUGGGAGGCCGAGGUGGGUGGAUCACCUGAGGUCAGGAGUUUGAGACCAGCCUGGCCAACAUGGCAAAACCCUGUCUCUCUAAAAAUACAAAAAUUAGCUGGGCAUGCUGGCGGGUGCCUAUAAUCCCAGCUACUCGGGAGGCUGAGGCAGGAGAAUCGCUUGAACCCAGGAGGCGGAGGUUGCAGUGAGCCGAGAUCACAUCAUUCCACUCCAGCCUGGGUGCCAAGAGCAAAAAACUCCAUCUUGAAAAAUAAAGAACUUUGUCUCCAGUAUCAUUCUUGUUCUAGGACUGAGAAACAGUUCAUUCUUCAUUUUCGUCUACUAAAAUUUAAGUUCUUUGAUUUUCUUCUUUAGGUCUUGGAAAAAGAAUUAAUAGAGUAAUUUUCUUAGGUAUCAAGUAAUGAAAAUGAGAAAAGAGACUAGUCUCAUUAUAGAUUUUUUUUUUUAUUCUUAUUUUAUUUUAUUUGAGACAAGGUCUCGCUCUGUCACCCAGGCUGGAGUGUAGUGGCUCCAUUAUGGUUCCCUGCAGCCUUGAACUCAGGGGCCCAAGCAAUCCUCCCACCUCAGCAUCCCGAGCAGCUGGGACUACAGGUGCAUGCCACCAUGCCUGGCUAAUUUUUGUGCUUUUUCGUGUAUAAAGAUGAGAUUUCGCCAUGUUGCCCAGGCUGGUCUCAAACUCCUGGGCUCAAGAGAUCUGUCCACCUCAGCCUCCUAAAGCGCUGAGAUUACAGGCAUGAGCCACCACGUCCAGCCUAGAGAUAUUUAUACUUUAAUAGCUGCCUGCAAUACCAAUACACCUAGAAUGAAUUAGAAGAAUUUGAAAACAGAUUUCAGGAUUAGUAAAAGAAAGUCAAGCCCUAUGCCUCCUGUUCUACAUUCCUCAAAUCACAUAAUCCUGAUUUUUUCCUCUUCGUAUGAAAAUUCCUCUCAUUUUGGGCCUGUUUGAUUUUUUGGGAGACACCACCCAGCAGAAACACACCGCACUUACAUGCAACCCCUCCAUUGCACAGUUUCUAAAUGCCCCCCCGCUUUUUUUUCCAUUCUCUGAUCCUAAAAAAAGAAAUCCAGUGGCACAAUCACGGAUCUCUGCAGCCUUGAUCUCUUAGCCUCAAGUGAUUCUCCUGCCUCAGCUUCCUGAGUAGCUGGGACCACAGGUGCUUGCCACCAUGCCCAGCUAUUUUUUUUUCUUUGUUUUUUUGUAAAGAUGUGUCUCACUAUCUUGCCCAGGCUGAUAUUGAAUUCCUGGGCUCAAGUGAUCCUCCUACCUUGGCCUCCCAAAGUGCUGGGAUUUUAUAUAUAUAUAUAUAUAUAUAUAUAUAUAUAUAUAUAUUUCCAUUUUACUUAUGUUAAUGCUUUCCCUCUUUUGGCAUAGAAAAGCUAAUAAAGCUUAAACUUAAAUGGAACUUGUAUAAACACAAUAUAUCUGAUGAUACCUUUGAGAGAUGUCUUACAUUUGUCUUUUCUUUCAGCAAAAUGUGAUGCCAGUCCCUGAAAUGUGUAGCAAUUUAAUUAUGGGUAGCAUUCUUCUUUCCCUGUACUUACUAUAGUAUUAACUUACUACUAAUGCUAAGAAGUUUAUAAUUUUUGAUAAUUCAGAUUUGGAUUAGAUUAAGAUUUAUGUCUAUGCAUAAUUCAUUAAAAACUUUUUAAACCAAAUUGUCAAAAAAGAUUGUAGGUACCUUGUUUAAAGAAAAUAUAUAAGCUAGUUUCAAGAAUUCCAAAAUAUUUUUUAAAAGCAGCUCUGUACAUGUCGAUAAAUUAUUUGCUCAUUGUAAUUUUUUGAAUCUGUUUGUCAAAGCAAAUGUAGACGGGCUCGAACUCCUGACCUCAAAUGAUCCACCCGCCUCAGUCUCCCAAAUGCUGGUAUUACAGGCAUGAGCCACUGCUCAUGGCCUGUUAUCAUUUUUAAUUGAAAAUUUUACUGAGAUAAUUGUAGAUUCACUUGCCAUUAUAAGAAAUAAUUCAGAGAUAUCACUUGUAUACUUAGCCCAGUGUCCCCCAAAGGUAAAAUUUUGCAAAAUUAUAGUCUAAUGUAACAGCGUGAAUAUUGACAUUAAUACAAUCCACUGAGUUUAUUCAGAUUUCCCCAGUUUUACUUGUAUUCAAUUGUGUGUUUGUGUAUUAAGUUCGAUAUAACUAGUCAAUAUACUGAACAGUUCUAACAUCACAAGUAUCCUUCAGGUAGCCCUUUUGUAUCCACAUCCACUUCCUUCUCAUCCCCAACUAUUGACAACCACUAAUCCCUUUUCCAUUUCUAAAAUGUGAUUUCAAAAAUGUUACAUACUUGGCUGGGGGCGGUGGCUCAUGCCUGUAAUCCCAGCACUUUGGAUAUACGGUCUCUACUAAAAAUACAAAAAUUAGCUGGGAGUGGUUGUGCACACCUGUAAUCCCAGGUGCUUGGGAAGCUGAGGCAGGAGAAUUGCUUGAACCCAGGAGGCAGAGCUUGCAGUGAGCCGAGAGUGUGCCACUUCACUCCAGCCUGGGCAACAGAGUGAGACUCUGUUUCAAAAAUAAAUAAAUAAAUAAAUAAAAUGGUCUUCAUACAGCCUUUGCUGCUAGGAAAUAUAGUUUCUAAUUAAUGUAAUUUUUUGUCAAAUACAAAAUGCUUCUGAACGUUUCUGGUUAUCAAGCUGGUAAUCUUUCACAGUGUCCUCAAUUUUUUUUUCUACUCUCUUACUAGUUCUCCAGAUCACAUGCAGGCUAUUAAGAAAUGUGAACUAACAAGUUAAAGUAGCAGGACGGGCGCUGUGGCUCACACCUAUAAUCCCAGCACUUUGGGAAGCUGAGGCAGGUGGAUCACUUGAGGUCAGGAGUUUGAGAGCAGCCUGGCCAACAAGGUGAAACCACAUCUCUACUAAAAAAAAAAAAAAUUUGCCAGGUGUGGUGGUGCAUACCUGUAAUCCUAGCUAUUUGGGAGGCUGAGGCAUGAGAAUCGCUUGAACCCAGGAGGCAGAGGCUGCGGGGAGCCAGGAUCAUAGCACUGCACUCCAGCCUGGGUGACAGAGCUAGACCCUGUCUGAAAAAAAAAAAAAAUGUUAGUAGCAGCAGAGCACAGUGGCUCAUGCCUGUAAUCCCAACACUAUGGGAGUCUGAGGCGGGAGGAUCUCUUGAGCUUAGGAGUUCAAGACCAGCCUGACAACAUAGUAAGACUCCAUCUCUACAAAUAAUCAUUAAAAAAAUUAGCCGGGCGUAGUGGCACCUACCUGUAGUCCCAGCUACUGGGGAGGCUGAGAUGGGAGGAUCACCUGGGCCUGGGAGGUCAAGGCUGCAGUGAGCUGUGAUCGCCAUUGUACUCCAAACUGGGUGACAAGAGUGAGACCAUGCCUCAAAAAUAAUAAU